rnacentral:rRNA from 1 species
CAGCAGCCGCGGUAAUACGUAGGGUGCAAGCGUUAAUCGGAAUUACUGGGCGUAAAGCGUGCGCAGGCGGUUAUAUAAGACAGAUGUGAAAUCCCCGGGCUCAACCUGGGAACUGCAUUUGUGACUGUAUAGCUAGAGUACGGCAGAGGGGGAUGGAAUUCCGCGUGUAGCAGUGAAAUGCGUAGAUAUGCGGAGGAACACCGAUGGCGAAGGCAAUCCCCUGGGCCUGUACUGACGCUCAUGCACGAAAGCGUGGGGAGCAAACAGGAUUAGAUACCCGGUAGUCCCUGUCUCUUAUACA